ACAAAUCCAAUAAUUGCGGAGAACGCUUGUUCUUUUGCAAAUAUUAAUCCGCUGGCCGCUCUUAGUAGCAGCUGGCUGUGAUAUAAAUGCGUGUUAUGUUGACAGUGUGUGUAUAAAUUAAUAUUGA
rnacentral:misc_RNA from 1 species